rnacentral:rRNA from 1 species
UACGUAGGCAGCGAGCGUUGUUCGGAGUUACUGGGCGUAAAGAGUGCGUAGGCGGUUUUCUAAGUUUGGUGUGAAAUCUCCCGGCUUAACUGGGAGGUGCGCCGAAACUGGAAGGCUUGAGUAUGGGAGAGGUAAGCGGAAUUCCGUGGUGUAGCGGUGAAAUGCGCAGACUAUCAGGAAGAACACCCGUGGCGAAGGCGGCUCUCUGGGACGGUACUGACGCUGAGACGCGAAAGCGUGGGGAGCGAACAGG